GACACAGAGAGAGAGAGAGAGGCAGAGACACAGGCAGAGGGAGAAGCAGGCUCCCCGCGGGGUGCCCGGUGCGGGACUCGAUCCUGGAUCCCGGGAUCACGCCCUGAGCCGAAGGCAGGCGCCCAAACGCUGAGCCACCCAGGCGCCCCGGCUCCCAGGUUUUCAAACAGGCUUUCUUUUCUUUCUUUUUUUUUUUUUUUGUAUAUUUUUGUAUUGAUUUUUUUUUUUUUUUAUUGGAGUUUGCUUUGCCAACAUCUAGUAUCACACGGAGGGCUCCUCCCGUCCAGUGCCCCCCGCAGUGCCCGUCCCCCGUCCCCGCCGCCCUUCCCCUUGUUCAUCUCCCAGCUUAGGAGUCUCGGGGUCUCACACAGGCUUUGGGGGGCGGGGGGCAGCGGCCGGGCUGCGAGAGGCGCGGGGACCCGGAGCUCCGCGGCCGGGGAGCAGCGCACGCGCACGCGCAGGCUGCGAGCGGCUCCCGCCGGCUCCUCCCGCGGCGGUCGGUCCGGGGACGUUCUCCCCGCCGCGGGGGCGACUGUGACCCCCGGCGGAGGCCCGGGCGGGCCGGGUCCCGAUCGGUGCUGGCGGACGUCACCCUGCCAGGUUCGGUGGUUCUGCAGACUGUUUACAUAUGAAAGCAUUUCCAGGUACUCUGAAAGCUUUCAGAAACCAUAACCUGAGGACUAGAGAUAAGACUAGAUUCCCUUUCCUCCAGUUGGAGUAUUAGAGCACAUAGAGUCUGUCUUCACAUUACUCAAUUGCUCAAGUAUUUGUCUCCCCCUCUAGCCUGACCUUCCUGUCUGCAGUGCCUAACUCAAUGGUUUGGGAGUGGUAGGUGCCCAGUAAACAAGCAUUCCUCAUUCACUCUGCCUUAACCUGCCUGAAAUUUCAUCAUUAGUUUGAUUUCUUUAGCUUGAGCCUAAUUUGACCUUUUCUCCUGUAACAAUCUAAGUUCUGUAUAUUCAUGCUCUAUGCCUUCAUGGAGUUGAACUUGUUAAAUCCACUCCUCAAAGUUGGUUCAGUUUGGAACAUGAGAGCAUGAGGACUUCUUAGUUUUGAGAGAGACUUCUACACACAGAUAAAUGUACAAGAGGGUUGCAGCAUUCUCUGUAAUAGGAUAAAACAUUGGAAACAAUUUUUUAAAGAAUAUCUUUUAAAACUAAAAUUAUGGCUCUCAUGUAGAUAUAAAAUGAACAUACGUUAGAGAUUUUAUUUAACUCAUUACUAAUUAGGGAACCAGUGAUGUUAGGACCAUUUCAAAGGAUAACCAAACAAUACAUUUUUAUUAGAUUAGUGCAAACCAAGGCAAAACUGGCUUCUCCCACAGUUGGAGAAGGCAAUUAAUUGAAUCUCCACUGUAGAAUUUAUUUGUGUGUCUAUAGCUAAGAUUUAUUUUCCAUUGCUAUCAGUUAUAUAUAGCUUACAGAAUGGAAAAUCAGAACCAGGUAACCAAGAAUGAUGUACUCCAAACAAUGUCUGGUUUUCCACAGAAGCACAGAUUUUUACCCAUGAGUACAAAUAUUCAUUAACAGAGAACUGGUAACAUUAAGAAAUUACAACUAUAUUGGGAAAAGAAGCAUCCAUUGCAAAGAAUGUAGCGGACACUAAAAUGAAAGGCAAACGAGAGACUGAAAAUAAUCACUAUACAUUGGUCUGAUAGGGGACUUGUAUCCAUUAUAUAUUCAAAAAUGUUUAUAAACCAAUCACAAAAAGAUGUACAACCCAAUUAAAAAAUUGGGGGAAAUACUCAAAUAGGUAUUUCAUAAAAGAAAAUAUUGGAAUGGCACAUGAAAAAGUGCUCAACAUCGUUGGUUGUCAGGAAAAUGCAAAUUAAAAUUGUAACAAGGUACCAGCGUACACCCACCAGAAUGGCUAAGACUGUAAAGACUGACAAUGCAAAGUGCUGAUGAGGAUUGGACAACUGGUAGGUCUACACUGCUGGUGGGAAUGUAAAAUGGCAUAAUCACUGUGGCAAAAAUGUUUGGAGUCUCUAAUAAAGCUACACACCACCUAUGACCUAGAAAUUGU
rnacentral:lncRNA from 12 species